rnacentral:rRNA from 1 species
CCUACGGGUGGCAGCAGUGGGGGAUAUUGCACAAUGGGGGGAACCCUGAUGCAGCGACGCCGCGUGGGUGAAGAAGCGCCUCGGCGCGUAAAGCCCUGUCAGCAGGGAAGAAAAUGACGGUACCUGAAGAAGAAGCCCCGGCGAACUACGUGCCAGAAGCCGCGGGAAUACGGAGGGGGCAAGCGUUAUCCGGAAUUACGGGGGGUAAAGGGGGCGCAGACGGCGAGGCAAGGCAGGAGUGAAAGCCCGGGGCCGAACCCCGGGAUUGCUCUUGGAACUGGGUGGCUGGAGUGCAGGAGGGGCAGGCGGAAUUCCUGGUGUAGCGGUGAAAUGCGUAGAUAUCAGGAGGAACACCGGUGGCGAAGGCGGCCUGCUGGACUGCAACUGACGUUGAGGCCCGAAAGCGUGGGGAGCAAACAGGAUUAGAUACCCCUGUAGUC